CUCUUACUAGGUGGGCAGCACAGCCUGGUUGCCCUCCUGCAGUGAGAGGAGCCGAGCCUGAGGCUGCCGCCGUGACUGACAGGAGCCGCCGCGCAGGCGCAGUCUGCCUCCGCCUUCAGCUCCGCCCCCUCCGCCGCCUAUAAAGCCUCCGCCUCACCUGGCUGCAGUUCUCCGGCUGUGACUCCUGUGCCUGAGGAUUUCACCGCAAGACAACAUGCCUGAAUACACCAUCAUUUAUUUUAAUGCCAGAGGUCGUUGUGAAGCUAUGCGAAUGCUCAUGGCUGACCAGGGAGCUCAAUGGAAGGAGGAAGUCGUAACGUCUGAUGACUGGCAGAAGGGGGAUCUGAAGAAAGCUGCGGUAAGAUGAAACCCCUCAUGGGCAAAGUAUAAUGGUAAAAUGUAGAUCAGGUGAUGGCGUGGGAUCGGGGUCUGUGCCCGCUCCAUCACUUGUGGAUGCCAGCUCUGGUAUACUGCUGCAUUCAGUGUUUCCUCUCACCCUAAUAGACUGCCUGUCAGAUUUACAGUAACAGAAUGAGUGAUUAGAGGAGCGCAGGUUCAGAUCCCCUAU